UUGAGAAACAGUGGCUGGGGGAGCCGAGCUCUCUGCCAGCCACAACCCAGUGCUUCUUCCCCAGGGCAGGAUUUCCCAAUUACGCGACCCUGUCACCGUCACAUCCUUCUUGUCCGGGCUCAUCAAGAUUUCAUCCCAGUUACCCUGCUCCGAAGUCACUAGGAAAACUGGGGCCCCACACCAAGAUUAUCAGCUUAGAAAUGUACUCAC
rfam:Procavia capensis cont1.301253, whole genome shotgun sequence.